rnacentral:rRNA from 1 species
GAUGAACGCUGGCGGCGUGCCUAAUACAUGCAAGUCGAGCGAACAGACGAGGAGCUUGCUCCUCUGACGUUAGCGGCGGACGGGUGAGUAACACGUGGAUAACCUACCUAUAAGACUGGGAUAACUUCGGGAAACCGGAGCUAAUACCGGAUAAUAUAUUGAACCGCAUGGUUCAAUAGUGAAAGACGGUUUUGCUGUCACUUAUAGAUGGAUCCGCGCCGCAUUAGCUAGUUGGUAAGGUAACGGCUUACCAAGGCAACGAUGCGUAGCCGACCUGAGAGGGUGAUCGGCCACACUGGAACUGAGACACGGUCCAGACUCCUACGGGAGGCAGCAGUAGGGAAUCUUCCGCAAUGGGCGAAAGCUUGACGGAGCAACGCCGCGUGAGUGAUGAAGGUCUUCGGAUAGUAAAACUCUGUUAUUAGGGAAGAACAAAUGUGUAAGUAACUAUGCACGUCUUGACGGUACCUAAUAAGAAAGCCACGGCUAACUACGUG